rnacentral:misc_RNA from 1 species
UCUCCGUUGGCGAACCAGCGGAGGGAUCAUUACCGAAGUUACCUUCAAAACCCACUGUGAACCUUACCUCUUGCCGCGUUGUCUCGGCGGGAGGCGGUGUGCGUCGCGCGCCCUAGCGGGCCGCGCCGCUCCCGUCCCCGCCGGCAGCGCCAAACUCUAAAUGCACAGCGGACUGUACGUUCUGAUUUACAAAAAAAACAAGUUAAAACUUUCAACAACGGAUCUCUUGGUUCUG